rnacentral:lncRNA from 1 species
GGACUCACCACCAUCACCCCUGCACUCCUUACACGCCUAACGCAAAUCCUGCUUUGCACCAAGCCCUGGAGACUGAGAACCACAGAGCAGCCUCACGCCUGUCAUGUGCACCCAAGAGGUACUGAAGGGCGAUUGUGGAUAAAGCCAUUCUCAACAUCCAGGCACAGUUUUGUGUGUGCACCAAGUUCUCAGGUCCUCCGAGGAAAUACCAAGGUCUGUGAUAUUUUGUCAUAGUACAGACUCUGUCACUUUCAUCACGUGCGAUAGAAAACGCAGCUGUGAGACAGACGUAGGAUAAACGUGCGUGGCGUGAGGUAAGAAGGUUUGUGCUCACCAGCGCCAUUAAACAACCACUGAACAUCUCCAGGGCAGGACAAGGAGGGAUAUCUAGGGUAGGCAGGAAGGAUGAUUUAGUUGGGACCAGGAGACAGAAGAGACCAGGUAAGUGUAAAACUG